GGGUGUUAGCCGCAUAGUGCGGCGAGACAGGUUCAUGCGCUGGUCGGGCCGCCGCG
rnacentral:ncRNA from 1 species